GAUGAUCUCAUCAGCCAAAUUAGGGGUUUUGACCAAGUGAUGCUCUUGAAAGGAGAGAAAGAAGAGGAUGUGGUAAAUUCUCUUCAGAGAAAAAGCUUCUCAAAAGGUCUUAAAGCAGCUUGAAGAAUGGUCUGGGAUGUUAGGACUGAGAGAUCCUCUGGCUGAGAACAAGCUACACCACAUCAGUGCUGGAUAUCAACCACAAACUGUUUCCAGACACGAGAGAAGAAGAACACGAUGGGGAGAUGAAACCAGUUUAGAUGUGAUGAUGGGAAUCAUUAUUUUCUGAAACAGUAUCACAUGUCUUAUAUGUAUCACAUGAUCUGUAUCACAGUUGACUGGAUGGGACUGUGUGACUUUUAAGGACAUUUCAUCACUCAUCCGUGUGAACUGAUUUAUAUAUGAGGUUAAUGUAUCUUUGAUGAUAAUUAUUUUCAUUGAAUCUUAUUUGUCUUGAUGCUACUUUAUCAACUUUAUAGUCUAUGCUUCAAUAAAAUGAAAAUGGUGAA